rnacentral:rRNA from 1 species
GACGAACGCUGGCGGCGUGCCUAACACAUGCAAGUCGAGCGGAGUCGAUCGACGGAAGCCUUCGGGCGGAAGAUGGUUGACUUAGCGGCGGAUGGGUGAGUAACGCGUGGGCAACCUGCCUCGAAGACCGGGAUAACAGUCCGAAAGGGCUGCUAAUACCGGAUGUGGUCAAGGAUCCGCAUGGAUUUUUGAUUAAAGGGGAAACCCGUUUCGAGAUGGGCCCGCGUCCUAUCAGCUAGUUGGUGAGGUAAAAGCUCACCAAGGCGACGACGGGUAGCCGGCCUGAGAGGGUGACCGGCCACACUGGAACUGAGACACGGUCCAGACUCCUACGGGGGCAGCAGUGGGGAAUAUUGCACAAUGGGCGAAAGCCUGAUGCAGCGACGCCGCGUGAGGGAUGACGGCCUUCGGGUUGUAAACCGUCUUCUAGCAGGAAGAAGCGAAAGUGACGGUACUGCAGAAGAAGACACCGGCUAACUACGUGCCAGCAGCCGCGAAUCAUACUCG